GGAUUCCCCUAGUAACUGCGAGUGAAGCGGGAAAAGCUCAAAUUUAAAAUCUGGUAGUCUUUGGCUGCCCGAGUUGUAAUCUAGAGAAGCGUUAUCCGCGCUGGACCGUGUACAAGUCUCCUGGAAUGGAGCGUCAUAGAGGGUGAGAAUCCCGUCUUUGACACGGACUACCAGGGCUUUGUGAUGCGCUCUCAAAGAGUCGAGUUGUUUGGGAAUGCAGCUCUAAAUGGGUGGUAAAUUCCAUCUAAAGCUAAAUAUUGGCGAGAGACCGAUAGCGAACAAGUACCGUGAGGGAAAGAUGAAAAGAACUUUGGAAAGAGAGUUAAACAGUACGUGAAAUUGUUGAAAGGGAAACGCUUGAAGUCAGUCGCGUUGGUCAGGGAUCAACCUUGCUUUUGCUUGGUGUACUUCCUGGCUAACGGGUCAGCAUCAAUUUUGACCAGUGGAAAAAGGUCAAGGGAAUGUGGCAUCUUCGGAUGUGUUAUAGCUCUUGGUCAUAUACACUGGUUGGGAUUGAGGAACUCAGCACGCCGCAAGGCCGGGUUUUUUACCACGUUCGUGCUUAGGAUGCUGGCAUAAUGGCUUUAAUCGACCCGUCUUGAAACACGGACCAAGGAGUCUAACAUGCCUGCGAGUGUUUGGGUGGAAAACCCAAGCGCGUAAUGAAAGUGAAAGUUGGGAUCUCUGUCGUGGAGAGCACCGACGCCCGGACCAGACCUUUUGUGACGGAUCCGCGGUAGAGCAUGUAUGUUGGGACCCGAAAGAUGGUGAACUAUGCCUGAAUAGGGUGAAGCCAGAGGAAACUCUGGUGGAGGCUCGUAGCGAUUCUGACGUGCAAAUCGAUCGUCGAA
rnacentral:rRNA from 1 species